GACGAACGCUAGCUACAGGCAUAACACAUGCAAGUCGAGGGACCGGCGCACGGGUGAGUAACACGUAUCCAUCCUGCUCUUUACUCGGGGAUAGUCUUUCGAAAGAAAGAUUAAUCCUCGUUAUAUAGGAUGUGUAUGCGGUCCAUUAGGGUGUUUUGGAGGUAACGGCGCACCAAGCCUUCGAUGGAUGGGGGUUCUGAGAGGUAGGUCCCCGGUAUUGGAGCUGGGACACGAUCCGAACUCCAAGGUGAGGCAGCGGUGAGGAAUAUUGGUAAGUAGGCGGGAGCCUGAACCAGCCAAGUAGCGUGGAGGAUGAAGGCUUAUGGGUCGUUAACUUCUUUUAUAUAAGAAUAUGUAUUGUAUGAAUAAGGAUCGGCUAACUACGUGCCAGCAGCCGCGGUAAUAC
rnacentral:rRNA from 1 species